rnacentral:tRNA from 1 species
GCCGCCGCGUGGUCUGCCUGCGGGCCCCGGCGGCUACGGCCCGCCGGACGGCCCGGGCGGUUACGGUCCGCCCGACGGCCCC